rnacentral:rRNA from 1 species
UUGGAGGGCAAGUCUGGUGCCAGCAGCCGCGGUAAUUCCAGCUCCAAUAGCGUAUAUUAAAGUUGUUGCAGUUAAAAAGCUCGUAGUUGAAUUUCGGGAUCAGAUUGUCGGUCGUGCCUCGGUACGCACUGGUAUUAUUGGUUCCUACCUUCUGAAGAACCGCGAUGUCAUUAAUUUGGUGUCGUGGGGAAUCAGGACUGUUACUUUGAAAAAAUUAGAGUGUUUAAAGCAGGCUUACGCUUGAAUACAUUAGCAUGGAAUAAUGAAAUAGGACGUUUGAUUCUAUUUUGUUGGUUUCUAGGAUUGACGUAAUGAUUAAUAGGGAUAGUUGGGGGCAUUAGUAUUCAAUUGUCAGAGGUGAAAUUCUUGGAUUUAUUGAAGACUAACUACUGCGAAAGCAUUUGCCAAGGAUGUUUUCAUUAAUCAAGAACGAAAGUUAGGGGAUCGAAGACGAUCAGAUACCGUCGUAGUCUUAACCAUAAACUAUGCCGACUAGGGAUCGGAUGAUGUUAAUUUUUUAAUGACUCAUUCGGCGCCUUACGGGAAAC